CACACAACACAUUAUUUUUCUCAUACGGUCUGUCUGAUUAUACCUGUAUUCCCCCUCUGUCUGAAAUGCUUUGUUUUAGCGCCUGUCUCUUUAAGCCCCCCUCCGGAAAAAGCCCAGUCUGCUCUGAUUGGUCAGCAUUUCCUGGUCUUCCAUAUCUGCGCUCUGUACCGUCAUUGCAGCCGGGGAAUGAUUCUAAUGCCACUGUAGUGCCACUUUCUACCGAUAUACAGUUAAGAAGAAGAAGAAGAAGAAGAAGAAGAAACUUUAUUAGUAUUUGUCACAUACAAUCAUACAGUACAUGAUGAUGAUGAUGAUCAAUCUCUGCAUUUAACCAUCCUAAGCAUUAGGAGCAGUGGACAGCUAUACAUACAGUGUCCAGCGAGCAACUUGGGGUUCAGUGUCUUGCUCAAGGACACUUUGACAUGUGGCCAGAGGAGCAGGGGAUCGAACCGCCAAUCUUUUGGUUGAGGGCUAACCCACUCUAUCUCUGAUCCACAGCCGUAUACUGUACAGUCUAUAGUUGUGACAUCAAAACCGUA